UGGGUUUUUUUUGGUUUUUUUUUGCAUUUCUGACGUUUUUCCUGGGAGGUUUUUGGGGCUCAAAUCACUCAAAAAACCCCAAAAUCGGCUGAAAACCCAAAAUAAAAACCUGAGAUUUUCCUGGGACGGGAGCACAGCCGCGGGCGAUGGCGCCGCUGCAGCUCCCGGCGCUGCUGCUGCUGCUCGGAGCGGGGACCCCGGGAGGGCCGGGAAUUCCGGGAGUUCUGGGAAAUUCGGGGAUUCCGGGAAAUUCGGGGAUUCCGGGAGUUCCGGGGAUCCCGGCGGUGCCGGGGAGGAGCCGCGAGGAGCUCCCUGCUCCCUCCCGUCCCCUCUCCCGCCGCCCUCGCUCCGUGGCCGCCUCCCCGUGGCUCCGCUGGGUCCCGUUCCGCGGCUCCGUCCCGCCCGACGCCGUCUCCAGCCUCAAUCCCCGCUCGGGCCGCGCCGAGUUCGUCUGCUCCACGCGCGACCGCGGCUGCAACCUGGGCUCCUUCGAGCCCUCCCGCGGCGCCUUCUGCUCCUUCGCCUGGGCCGAGCGGGAGCUGCGCAGCGCCGACUUCCAGCUCCUGCUCAACCCCGGCGGCUUCGAGGCGCUCGACUGGGCGGCCGCGUCCUUCGGCAGCACGCCGCCGGGCGCCGUCGAGGGCUGCCCGCUCACCGACAUCUUCGUGGGCCGCGGCCCCGAGGGGCUGGGCAAGGCCUCCAAGGAGCAGCAGGCGCUCUUCGUGGCCGUGGACGGCGAGGAGGUUUGGUACAAGUGGUACGAGGUGCUGGUGGUGCGCCAGGGCCCCGCCGCCCUCUCCAUCGCCGACGUGAGCUACGAGGGCGGCGCGGCGCUGGAGAGCGCCGAGCCCGCGGAGCUGGCCGAGGUUCUGGCCAGGAACGACGCCUGCCGGGCUGCGGCCACCUGGGUCACCCUGCAGGAGGCCACCGAAGCCGAGCAGGGCUGGAGCGCCGAGCUGCCGGCGCUGGCGGCCGCCCGCGGGGUGCUCCGGGCGGCGCCGGUGAUCCUGACCGAGCCGCACGGGUGGGAUCUGGGCAACGCCACCGCCGUGCCCUGGGUCGGCGGCGCCGCCGUCACGGAGUUCGUGUCGCGGGAGCACCGGCUCCGGCAGGAGAUCCCGGCGCGCUCCGAGUGCUCCGUGCUUCUCCGCGGGCUCCGGCGGCGAGUGCGGGUCCCGUUCCGGGCGCGGCUGACGCGGGAGUUCCGCUCGGGCCGCCCGCACCGCGUGGACAUCGCGGGCACCGCCUGGAGCAGCGGCGUCACCGGAGUGCGCCCCGCGCUCGGCCGCUGCCGCCGCAUCGCCGAGCUGCCGCCCUGCCCCGACUGGCGCUGAACCCCAUAAUGCUGAUUUUAUCCCCAAAAAAAACCCAAAAUCCGCGGCAGCGCUCGGCUUCAGCGCGGGGUUUCGGGGUUUGCGGCAUAAAGGUGACCCCAAAAUGCAGGGAAUUGGGGGUUCUGGUGGAGUGUCCUUUUUUCACCCCAAAAAUCCAACAGCAACAGCAGAAAACUGGGGCUGAACCCCUGGAAUUCUGAUUUUAUCCCCAAAAAAAACCCCAAAAUCCGCGGCAGCGCUCGGCUUCAGCGCGGGGUUUCAGGGUUUGCGGCAUAAAGGUGACCCCAAAAUGCAGGGAAUUGGUUCUGGUGGAGUGUCCUUUUUUCACCCCAAAAAUCCAACAGCAACAGCAGGAAUCUGGGGCUGAACCCCUGGAAUUCUGAUUUUCCUCCCCAAAAAAGCCCCAAAAUCCACGGGAACGCUGGGCUUCAGCGCCGCCUUGUAUUUUUGGAUUUACUCCUGUAUUUUUGGUUUUGGAGUUUCGGGGUUUCGGGGUUUGCAGCAUAAAGGUGACCCCAAAAUGCAGGGAAUUGGUUCUGGUGGAGUGUCCUUUUUUCACCCCAAAAAUCCAACAGCAACAGCAGAAAACUGGGGCUGAACCCCUGGAAUUCUGAUUUUCCUCCCCAAAAAAACCCCAAAAAUCCACGGCAGUGCUCGGCUUCAGCACGGGGUUUUGGGGUUUGCAGCAUAAAGGUGACCCCAAGAUGCAGGGAAUUGGGGGUUCUGGUGAAGUGUCCUUUUUUCGCCCCAAAAAUCCAACAGCAACAGCAGGAAUCUGGGGCUGAACCCCUGGAAUUCUGAUUUUUAUCCCAAAAAAACCCCAAAAUCCACGGCAGCGCUCGGCUUCAGCGCGGGGUUUCGGGGUUUGCAGCAUAAAGGUGACCCCAAGAUGCAGGGAA